UACGGGGGGAGCAAGCGUUGUUCGGAUUUACUGGGCGUAAAGGGCGCGUAGGCGGCCACCGCAAGUCGGUUGUGAAAUCUCUGGGCUUAACCCAGAAAGGUCAACCGAUACUGCGGGGCUAGAGUGCAGAAGGGGCAACCGGAAUUCUUGGUGUAGCGGUGAAAUGCGUAGAUAUCAAGAGGAACACCUGAGGUGAAGACGGGUUGCUGGGCUGACACUGACGCUGAGGCGCGAAAGCUAGGGUAGCAAACGGG
rnacentral:rRNA from 1 species